rnacentral:SRP_RNA from 1 species
UAUGUUGUGCAAUAAAUAGUUAUGGAACUAGGUCAGGAUGGAAACAUAGCAGCCUUAACAUUUCCUAUUUAUGUGCACUUUUAUUUU